rnacentral:lncRNA from 1 species
AUUUAUGGCCUUUUGUUCUCUGUUUGGAAGAUCCUCUAAUUUCUUUUUCGCCAUAUAAACUCCCGCAGCUAAUGUCAUUCUAAAAACUUCUGCAUGUAAACUAUUGUCUUUGAAGUUUGUAAUUUUCUAAUUCAUCCCACUUCCAUCCUUGAGCUUGUCUUUGAAUUUGCAGUUAUAUUAGCAUGGUAUUCCAGACUUGCACUAAAUAAGGGCACAUAAAAAAGAGAUGUUCAGCAUACUCAUUAUCCUUGAUGUGUAGUCCACACUUCUCAUCCUCCAAGCAUCUUCAUCUGGCUAACCUUCCCUUUGUAAACAGCUUGCUAUAUAGGAUAAGUUGACCAUUUAGGAGGGUAUAUUUUGUUGUAAAUCAGCCUUGUCCAAUUAACCUUCUGGUAAGCUCUUUUUAGCUGAAGAGUUUGCUGAUAGUAAACUUAUCUGAUCUUAGUACAUCCAUUUCUCACCUACCAACUUCCUCAAAGUAUUUGUGAACUUCGAUGAUAACAGAUAAAAAUAUAUGAAAAUGGUCAAUUUGUAGUCCAACGAAAAGAAUCACUCUUUUCGCCUCCAAACAGUUCAUUAAUUUUGGCAAAACUAUGAUACUAUAUUUUGUCCCCAAUCAAAAUUAUGAGUCGGAUGAAUUUCAACAAUUAGCUAGUGAUCCAUCAAGACAUUUGACUAAAAAUUCAACAUGCAGCUCAAAAGACUGAACCAUUCUAAUCUACAUAUUCAUCAGCUAACGAAACAAUCAGGCUCCAAAAGUUAAAGAUAUUUGAAAGUGUUAUCUGAGUUAAAAAUACCAUUUUUUAUAAUCUACAAUAUUUACCACCAAAACAACUUAGGCUCCAAUAAAUUGAAGGAACAACUAACCAGAAAGGCAAAACAACAACCUGAGUAGAACAAUCUGGGAAAGAGAAUAACAAUGUGCAUUCUUUAGGAGCUUAUUUCCGUCCCUGAGUUCUUCUUUGCGGGAGAUUCUAAAAUAGAGCUCAGAUUUUUCAAUCUUUCCUGCUGAAUCUCACUCGGGGACCUGUAAACACUAUCUAUUAUAUUGAAGUUUGGUUCAUUUUUUAAUUUGUGAUGGAUAUGAUCAAGCACAUAAUCCUGCAUCUUCAAAUACACCAUGUCUACAAUACAUUAUGUCACAUAUUUAAAAUUUUACCAACAAAAAUAGAACAAUAUUAACCCUAUCAAUUGAAGGUUUAACGACAUAAUAUGUUCACCAUGAACUUGUGCAGUUAGAAAUAAAAUAUUUAAAUAUUAUUGCUCGUUGUUCUUAUCGAUGAUUCGGUCAUUUACUUCAAAGAAUAUGCAAUUAUUGUCUUGUGCGGGAAAUUAUAUUACUUUUCUUUCCUUUUAAAUUAUCCCAAAAUUAAUCAUAUUAGUCACUAAUAUGUUCUCCUUAAAUAGUUUUGAGAUUUGCAGUAAAAAACAUUCUCGAGUGACUUUUAUGCAUGCCAUAUCAUAAAUUUAUAAAGCUAAGAUUAAAUGGAACAUGUGAAUGAGGGUUAGAACUUAGAAGAUUCACUACCAGCCAAAUGAGAUAUAGUGAAUAAAGUUUUCAAGAAUCAACUUCAAUAUCUUCUGCUUGUCGGUCCUUAUUCACCAAUGAAAAUAUUAAAAUUCCUACAUAAGAGAUCAAUUUAUUUUAAUAAUUUUUAGCGAAUCAAAAUUAAAGACAAUUUAAGCAUAGUAGAUUGCAACUAUCUAAAAAAAACAUACUACACUAAAUGUGUUCCUUGAAACUUAACUUCAUUUACCUCAGCAUGGCUGAUAUCAUAAUAUACUACUUGUAAGGCAUUCUACAAAUGGCUUCCGGACAAUUAGGAUAGAAACCACUCCAUCCAAUAUAAAUUAUAUUCAAAGUUGGGAAAACGAGGUCUGGUUCAAUCAAGGUAUAGCUUAACGGAAUGAAAGAGAAUUAGUGUAUUAAGCAAGUAGGAAAAAGCAGAAAAAGGGACUUCAGACGUUGUUCUCAAGUCUAGUUAACGAAAGCCCCAAGUCACCAAUAACAUUGAGCAAAACUCUUUCCUGAAGCAACUCACUCCAAAUGAACAAAUUGUCAGUCAUAUCAUCAAACAAUUAGGGUGCAUAUUCCACUUCAAUAGAUUUAACUGUUGGAUAGUGAUUUAACUUUCAACAUUCAAUUACUCCAGAUUCAAACUUCAUUAACCCAUGGAACUGAAUCUAAAAUCAAAACUUUACAAAUCUAUUCGAACAAACGUAGAAAUCAAAGAAAAAUUGAAGCUCAAAAGAAAAUCAACGAAAAAUAGAGAGACAACAAGAAUUACCUCAAAAUUGCAGUAAUACUCGGAGACGAUUUGAAUAUGAAAAGCCAAUACUUAUGGGAGAUGAAAAACUUCAUAAAAAUAUAGUUCUUGGAGAAUCGGGAAGUUUUCCAAUUUUUCGUCUGGGAAACUCUGCAAGAUGAAGAACCUAUAGUGGAUGAGAGAAUGUGAUGAAGUAUCGAUGGAUGACAACACAAGAAAAUGGUGG